UUUAGUGGCGAACGGGUGAGUAACGCGUAAGCAAUCUGCCCCUAAGACGAGGAUAACAGUUGGAAACGACUGCUAAGACUGGAUAGGAGACAAGAAGGCAUCUUCUUGUUUUUAAAAGACCUAGCAAUAGGUAUGCUUAGGGAGGAGCUUGCGUCACAUUAGUUAGUUGGUGGGGUAAAGGCCUACCAAGACUAUGAUGUGUAGCCGGGCUGAGAGGUUGAACGGCCACAUUGGGACUGAGACACGGCCCAAACUCCUACGGGAGGCAGCAGUAGGGAAUUUUCGGCAAUGGAGGAAACUCUGACCGAGCAACGCCGCGUGAACGAUGAAGUAUUUCGGUACGUAAAGUUCUUUUAUUAGGGAAGAAUAAAUGAUGGAAAAAUCAUUCUGACGGUACCUAAUGAAUAAGCCCCGGCUAACUAUGUGCCAGCAGCCGCGGUAAUACAUAGGGGGCAAGCGUUAUCCGGAAUUAUUGGGCGUAAAGGGUGCGUAGGCGGUUAAAUAAGUUUNUGGUCUAAGUGCAAUGCUCAACAUUGUGAUGCUAUAAAAACUGUUUAGCUAGAGUAAGAUAGAGGCAAGUGGAAUUCCAUGUGUAGUGGUAAAAUGCGUAAAUAUAUGGAGGAACACCAGUAGCGAAGGCGGCUUGCUGGGUCUUUACUGACGCUGAGGCACGAAAGCGUGGGGAGCAAACAGGAUUAGAUACCCUGGUAGUCCACGCCGUAAACGAUGAGUACUAAACGUUGGUUAAAACCAGUGUUGAAGUUAACACAUUAAGUACUCCGCCUGAGUAGUACGUACGCAAGUAUGAAACUUAAAGGAAUUGACGGGACUCCGCACAAGCGGUGGAUCAUGUUGUUUAAUUCGAAGGUACCCGAAAAACCUCACCAGGUCUUGACAUGCUUCUGCAAAGCUGUAGAAACACAGUGGAGGUUAUCAGUUGCACAGGUGGUGCAUGGUUGUCGUCAGCUCGUGUCGUGAGAUGUUGGGUUAAGUCCCGCAACGAGCGCAACCCUUAUUGUUAGUUACCAGCACGUAAUGGUGGGGACUUUAGCAAGACUGCCAGUGAUAAAUUGGAGGAAGGUGGGGACGACGUCAAAUCAUCAUGCCCCUUAUGACCUGGGCUACAAACGUGAUACAAUGGCUGUUACAAAGGGUAGCUGAAGCGCAAGUUUUUGGCGAAUCUCAAAAAAACAGUCUCAGUUCGGAUUGAAGUCUGCAACUCGACUUCAUGAAGUUGGAAUCGCUAGUAAUCGCGAAUCAGCAUGUCGCGGUGAAUACGUUCUCGGGGUUUGUACACACCGCCCGUCAAACCACGAAAGUUGGCAAUACCCAAAGCCGGUGGCCUAACUUCGCAAGAAGAGGGAACCGUCUAAGGUAGGGUCGAUGAUUGGGGUUAAGUCGUAACAAGGUAUCCCUACCGGAAGGUGGGGAUGGAUCUCCUC
rnacentral:rRNA from 1 species